UACGAAGGGGGCUAGCGUUGUUCGGAAUCACUGGGCGUAAAGCGCACGCAGGCGGAUUGAUAAGUCAGGGGUGAAAUCCCGGAGCUCAACUUCGGAAUUGCCUUUGAUACUGUUAAUCUCGAGUCCGGGAGAGGUGAGUGGAAUUCCUAGUGUAGAGGUGAAAUUCGUAGAUAUUAGGAAGAACACCAGUGGCGAAGGCGGACUCACUGGCCCGGUACUGACGCUCAUGUGCGAAAGCGUGGGGAGCAAACAGG
rnacentral:rRNA from 1 species